GAAAAGGAUGCUUUAGAGACUCUACGCCUCUAAUAGGAAGAAUGAGAUGUGUAUUUGACCGAACUAAAAGGAGAAUGAGAGAUCUCUCCGGGUCGGCACGGGCAUCGAAAGUCUACACCACAGAGCUGAUCUAAAUCACAUCGAUCGAGAGGUUCUCCCGAAGGAAAGAACUCACGCGUGCCACACUCCCGAGACCUUGAUAAGGGACGGGCGCGGUCUGAACGACGUCAAUAGAUGGCCUCACUGAAGUAUAUAUGAUGCCCCCAAAUCCGAGUAACUUCAAACCUGGGUUUAGUGCUCCACGAUACUACCCAUUCAACACAAUCUUAAAGACAUAAAUGUAAUUACUAAAUUAUUACAAUACGUCUUUCUCUAAAUUCCAGGUUCUAAGGCCUUUACAUCUUCAAAAGCUAAUAUUAUAUCAUAAUAUUACAUCAAUACUAAAUUAUUAUGAAUAAAGUACAACGUCUUCUACUUGUUCAUCUUUCCUUUAUCUUUACCGGAACCUUCAAUCCAUUCUGGUUUCGCUGAAAACAUUUAACUUAAAGCAAGAAUGAGCAUUCAAUUGCUUAACAAGUAUAACAUUUGAAUUAUUAACAACAAAAUCAAGAAUCAUAUCAUCUUUCUCUAAAAACUUCAACAACUAAACAAUAGUUGUAAAACAUUAGAAUAACUAAGAAUAAUACUUCCCUUUCAUUCAAUAUUUUUGAAACGAUAUACUGAAAGGUCAUAAGACCUUGAACUUUUCUUUUUGUAAAGAUUUAACAGUAAUUUAAUUGUAAACCUUUUUACUUAUGGGCACGUUAGGUGAUCAUCCUAUUAUACCCUAUGUUGUACAAUAUAAUAUUUUAAACAAUUAUAUGCAUUUAUUUUGACCGCCUCACGGGUCUGCCGGGAUUUUUGACUAAAAUUCCCUAAUAUUAAGGUUGUUCAUCUCAUACUUCAUCUGAAUCCACACCAAAAAAAUUUAGUUUGGAUAGCUCUACUUAAUAUCAAUAAUAUUUCAAAGAUUUAUUAUCAAAUCGAUAAAACAUUUCAAUAUCCGUCAAGCUGGAACAAAUGACAACGACGUACUUCUUAAAAAGUUCUUGAAUAAAAGAACUCUAAAGCUUAACAAUUUGCAAUAUAGCAUAACUUGAACAACUUGUACAAAUACUAAAAGAUUUGCAUAAAUUUUGGAAUUUACACAAUAUACAAACAUUGCAAAAAUUAGAACUUCAAAACAUCAUAUAACAUUCAUAAAAACAUAAGUCGAAUGAAGUCAAAAAACUUGCUCAAUUACGAAAAAUUAAACAAGAGUUAGAAAAUUGCCUUAAAUAUUCUUUAUAGUUUACGUUAAUUCCCUCUUCAAAUAGCUUACACAAUUCAAUUAACAAUAACACACUAAUUAGCCAAAUAAUGACCAUUUAUAUUGUUUUACUUUAUCUUAUUUCUUAUUCCAUGUUAUUCGUAUUUUACAAAUUAAGCAACGUGAUCUAACUUUAAUAAUGUCGCUCGGCGUUGUGGGGUUUGGGAACAACACGACCCACAUAACUAUCCUCUACGAUAGUUUACUUUCACUUUUACAUAAUAUGUUACACGACUUUAUUUAAAAUAACACAAUUGAAUCUCAAAAGCAUCGAAAGGCAUCGCGAAAUGGCAUGGUGACACACCAGCGGCAUGCCCGUGCACAACCCCAUGGCUUCACAGCCCAUGCGCCCAGCAGCACUUGGCGUUCCCACUCCAUGAGCAACAAUAACACCCCAUGCCGCGCCCGCCCGCACUUCCCACAACCUUGAACAUGCGCCAAGACACUCCCUGCUCUUCACUUCGGUACUUGGAACACUGUAAGACAAGAGUUGCGGCACAUAAAAUAGGUGCUGCGGCGCUUACUCGGCAGAAGCACUUUUUCAACUUUCUCAAAAUUUUUCAGUUUUGAUGCUCAAACUUUCGAGCUUCAUAACUCGCUCACCCGAAGUUAGAAUGAGUUCGUUCUUGAGCCUAUGACUCACUUAUUCAGCGUACUAUCAAACCCCCAGAAAAUCAAUAUUUUUCGAAAGCGUUAGCUACCCAUAAAAUUGGACCGAAUGUUAUACCAACCUAGGAUUUUGCCAUUUUAACAUAAUUUACUAAAAAUUUUGUCAUAACUUCGUUAUAGCGUAUUUUUACUUCAUUCCAUUUGACUUAUUUUCAUAACUCACAUACACAUAUUUCCUUCUUUCAUAAUUAAAAAAUGACUCACACACAAAGAAUUAUACUAGUCCGAUUAACAAUCCAUUACAAAGUUUUCGACCAUCCUUUACGCAUAGGUUUCCUUUUCAUUUUCUGUUCACUUUUCAUGAAAAUUACCAAUGAUUUAACAUAUAUAAACCAUCGCAACAUCUUUAUUCCUCUGGAUCCUUCAUGAUCCUCAAUCAAACUUUAACAACCAAAACCAACAAGCUAAUUAAAAAGAUUUAAAAAGAUGAAUGAUAAUUAGGUUUUAAAGGUUACCUUCUUUGGUUCUCUUCUUGUUCUUUCUAAUGGAUGAUAAAUUAACUUGAUAGCUCAUCUUCCUUCUUCUUACCUCAAUAUCCACCCACUCUCUCUCUUUCUCACUACUCUCAAGUUCUUGCUCUUACUUAGCAAAUUUGGAUGAAAUGAAAUGACUAAGUGAUGGAUGGAUGAUGAAUUGGUAUAUAUAAAAUGACUUUUCAAGAAUCACAAAUUUUUCACUCAACUCUGUCCUUACUAUUCCACCCCCUCAACUCUCUUACUUCUACUAACCCUCCUCUAGGGUUACCUUAAUCAACCUCAAUUCGGCUAACCAAGGGUGGAAAAAUGAUUAAAAACUAAGGUAAAUGGAAAGUUUAGCUUCCUUUUUGACUCAUCCCACAACUGAAUUCCUCCCCCUUUUGUCCUCCUUUUGGCUUUUU
rnacentral:lncRNA from 1 species